GUGGGCGUAGCUCAGCUGGUUAGAGCGCAGCCUUCACAUGGCUGAGGCCGAGGGUUCGAGUCCCCCAGCGCCCACU
rnacentral:tRNA from 1 species